rnacentral:lncRNA from 1 species
AGCGCCUGCCCAUCCCGUCCUGGCAACUCCGCGGUGGACACUGUGUAGACUAGAUUUCACUCCCUUACGCGCCUGGCUUAGCCAUGUCUGACAAACCUGGUAUGGCUGAGAUCGAGAAAUUCGAUAAGUCGAAACUGAAGAAGACAGAAACGCAAGAGAAGAAUCCAUUGUCUUCCAAAGAAACUAUCGAACAGGAGAGGCAAGCAGGCGAAUCUUAAACAGGCAUGUGCCACCAAUAUCUACUGUACAUUCUACAAGCAUUGCUUUCUUAUUUUACUUCUUUUACUUGUUUAACUUGGUUAGAUGCAAACACGUUGGAUGAGUUUGAAAGGACUAUGCUGCCCUUUUGACAUCAAAGACCUGCUGACAAUGGAGGCCACGCCUGCUUCUCCCAUCGCCUGUCUGGCUGGCAGGGAAGGAAAAUAGCUUGAAUGUUGGUGAAAGACUUAGCGGAGUGGGAGGGCAGUGAAAUCUAGAGUAAAACCAAGUUGGGCCAAGUGUCCUGCAGAAUCUAAAAUGAAGUUUAAUCAGCGUGCCAUUUUUGUUGUUGUUUGAAAGAUUUUAAUUUUUGGAAUGCACAGUUUUUAUUUAAAAAAGACAUUUUUAAACCACUGCUUGUGAGAUUGCUUGUUGAUUGGAAAGAGUGUUUUAUUCACCAUUUAAACGUUUGCAAAGUGGCGUGCCCCUUGGCCUCACAGGCAAAGAAUAACUUAAAAGCUGACGAUUUGAAUAAAUUAUGUUACAGUAUGAAAUAUGUUUUACCUGGAUAUGUAAAAUACCUUCUUUAUUCUAGCUAAUUGGGAGAUGAUUUUUUUUGGCUAAUUGAGAUUACCUUUAGAUUAUGUUUUCAAAACUGGCUUAUACUGUAAUCUACAACUAAUAAGCACUAAUUUAGAGUUCAGCUAUAUUGUUGCAUGUAGUGAGAAGGGACUUAAUUACAAACUUAAGACGUAAGUGUGCAAUAAAGUAAGCUAAGAAGAAAA